rnacentral:rRNA from 1 species
CUACGGGACGCUGCAGUGGGGAAUAUUGCACAAUGGGCGCAAGCCUGAUGCAGCCAUGCCGCGUGUAUGAAGAAGGCCUUCGGGUUGUAAAGUACUUUCAGCGGGGAGGAAGGGAGUAAAGUUAAUACCUUUGCUCAUUGACGUUACCCGCAGAAGAAGCACCGGCUAACUCCGUGCCAGCAGCCGCGGUAAUACGGAGGGUGCAAGCGUUAAUCGGAAUUACUGGGCGUAAAGCGCACGCAGGCGGUUUGUUAAGUCAGAUGUGAAAUCCCCGGGCUCAACCUGGGAACUGCAUCUGAUACUGGCAAGCUAGUGUGUCGUAGAGGGGGGUAGAAUUCCAGGUGUAGCGGUGAAAUGCGUAGAGAUCUGGAGGAAUACCGGUGGCGAAGGCGGCCCCCUGGACGAAGACUGGCGCUCAGGUGCGAAAGCGUGGGGAGCAAACAGGAUUAGAUACCCGGGUAGUC